rnacentral:rRNA from 1 species
AGCGAACGCUGGCGGCAGGCCUAACACAUGCAAGUCGAACGAACUCUUCGGAGUUAGUGGCGGACGGGUGAGUAACACGUGGGAACGUGCCUUUUGGUUCGGAAUACCUCAGGGAAACUUGUGCUAAUACCGAAUGUGCCCUUCGGGGGAAAGAUUUAUCGCCAUUAGAGCGGCCCGCGUCUGAUUAGCUAGUUGGUGAGGUAACGGCUCACCAAGGCGACGAUCAGUAGCUGGUCUGAGAGGAUGACCAGCCACACUGGGACUGAGACACGGCCCAGACUCCUACGGGAGGCAGCAGUGGGGAAUCUUGCGCAAUGGGCGAAAGCCUGACGCAGCCAUGCCGCGUGAAUGAUGAAGGUCUUAGGAUUGUAAAAUUCUUUCAACGGGGACGAUAAUGACGGUACCCGGAGAAGAAGCCCCGGCUAACUUCGUG